UCCUACGGGGCGCAGCAGUGGGGAAUAUUGGGCAAUGGGCGCAAGCCUGACCCAGCCAAGCCGCGUGAGGGAUGAAGGUACAGAGUAUCGUAAACCUCUUUUGUCAGGGAACAAAGGCGGGGACGCGUCCCCGGAUGAGUGUGCCUGAAGAAAAAGCAUCGGCUAACUCCGUGCCAGCAGCCGCGGUAAUACGGAGGAUGCGAGCGUUAUCCGGAUUUAUUGGGUUUAAAGGGUGCGCAGGCAGUCUGUUAAGUCAGCGGUCAAAGCCCGGGGCUCAACCCCGGCCCGCCGUUGAAACUGGCAGG
rnacentral:rRNA from 1 species